AGAGUUUGAUCAUGGCUCAGAGCGAACGCUGGCGGCAGGCCUAAUACAUGCAAGUCGAGCGGUCCCUUCGGGGGCAGCGGCGGACGGGUGAGUAACGCGUGGGAACGUGCCCUUUGGUACGGAACAACUGAGGGAAACUUCAGCUAAUACCGUAUGUGCCCUUCGGGGGAAAGAUUUAUCGCCAUUGGAGCGGCCCGCGUUAGAUUAGCUAGUUGGUGGGGUAAAGGCCUACCAAGGCGACGAUCUAUAGCUGGUCUGAGAGGAUGAUCAGCCACACUGGGACUGAGACACGGCCCAGACUCCUACGGGAGACAGCAGUAGGGAAUCUUGCGCAAUGGGCGAAAGCCUGACGCAGCCAUGCCGCGUGAAUGAUGAAGGUCUUAGGAUUGUAAAAUUCUUUCACCGGGGACGAUAAUGACGGUACCCGGAGAAGAAGCCCCGGCUAACUUCGUGCCAGCAGCCGCGGUAAUACGAAGGGGGCUAGCGUUGCUCGGAAUUACUGGGCGUAAAGGGCGCGUAGGCGGACAGUUUAGUCAGAGGUGAAAGCCCAGGGCUCAACCUUGGAAUUGCCUUUGAUACUG
rnacentral:rRNA from 1 species